UGGGUGUGUCAGUGAGGGUGUAUUUGGAAGAGAUUAGCAUUUGAUUAAGUGGGCUGAGUAGAUCUGCCCUCACCAAUGUAGGGAGUCAUCAUCCCAUUGUUGAGAGCCCAAUAGGACAAAAAGGUGAAGGAAGGUUGAUUCACUCUCUCUUCUUGAGCUGGGACAUCUAUUUCCUCUGUACUCAGACAUCAGAGUUCCUGGGUUUUGGCCUUUGGACUUCAGGACUUACACCAGUCCUCCCCUCAGGCCUUUAGAGCUGGUCUGAGAGUUACACCCUUGGCUCCCCUGAUUCUCAGGCCUCGGACUGGAUUACACCACUGGCUUUCCUGGUUCUCUAGCUUGUAGAAAGCAGAUGGUGUAACUUCAUGGUCUCCAAAAUUACAUGAGCCAAUUUGCAUAAGAAAUCUCCUUAUAUAUAUCUUACAGGUUUUGAUUCUCCGGAAAGCCCUAACACAAGCUCUAUACCUAGAAAGUGCUAUUUUUACUGCCUGAGAACCAAAUCCACCCAAACCCAGUUAAAUAUUAUUCUUUCCAGGAAGUUCAGAAAUAGUUUUCUGCUGCACUAUAUUCAGAACUGGAGUAUGCAGAGGAUAGCCAGUCCCUUAGCAUUUUAGUGACACUGCUAGAGAGCAGCAUUUCUUUGAUAUAUGCAUUUGUUCUAUAUUUUCUACCCUCCGUAUCUUCAUCCGAGGUCUUUGGCAUCCCAGGAGAAACUAAGCUGGAAUUUAGCCAACUCAUGGAGCUGAGGAAGGCUACUACUCCUUGGAGAAUGAGGUUGGCCUAGUUGCAUUUGACAAGGUUGACUGCUAUGUGACCAAGGAGAACUUAAUAAAUCAUGGCAUUUGAAGAACGUCCUGAGUUCAAAGGUAUGUAUGAUCAGGUUAUCAUGAAGUAAGUAUGAAGUAAGUAAAUGCCAGUCCCUGAUCUUGUAGUUAAUAAUAAUAAUAAAAAAAAGGCAUGUAAGUGUGAAAGAAUGCAGUUCAGCACCUAGGCUUCACUGCAAAUAUUUAUAACCUUUAAAAUUUGGUACAAAUUACAGAGAGAACAAUAGAUGGCCCUGGAGUGAACACAAGGCUUUAUUUCACUGGAAAGAUUUGACUGAGGUCAUAAACUGCAAGAGGACAGGCAGCUCAAGUGGCUUAU
rnacentral:lncRNA from 1 species